GCAACCGGAGUACGUCUCACGCCUUGCAGCUUAAAAAAAGAACAGUAAACACGAAUGCAGUAUGCACCUGGCAGUGAGACGCCCACCACACGACUGACAGGCCCCAGUGUAGUCGUGGCAACGAGACUACGCACAGGGGCAAUCAAUCGACGGAGCGCGCCUGAGCCCAGCCGACGUCUUGUUUGUUCUCGAAAGCAGAGACUGGUGGUGACUGUGAUGAAUUACGAUCAACUGUCUGGAAGGCAAUGAUUUACUCUGGAAACAAAAUGAAGUCAGAAGACGUAGAUCAGAGGGGCUGGUGUCUCUACAGCCGUGUCUCCCAACCUGGUCCUUGAGGACCCACAGACAGUCCAUGUUUUUGCUCCCUCCCAGCUCCCUGUCACCCAGUCCAUGUUUUUGCUCCCUCCCAGCUCCCUGUCACCCA